rnacentral:rRNA from 1 species
AACGAACGCUGGCGGCAUGCCUAACACAUGCAAGUCGAACGAUGCCUUCGGGCAUAGUGGCGCACGGGUGCGUAACGCGUGGGAAUCUGCCUUUCGGUUCGGAAUAACUCAGGGAAACUUGAGCUAAUACCGGAUAACGUCGCAAGACCAAAGAUUUAUCACCGAAAGAUGAGCCCGCGUAGGAUUAGCUAGUUGGUGAGGUAAAGGCUCACCAAGGCGGCGAUCCUUAGCUGGUCUGAGAGGAUGAUCAGCCACACUGGGACUGAGACACGGCCCAGACUCCUACGGGAGGCAGCAGUGGGGAAUAUUGGACAAUGGGCGAAAGCCUGAUCCAGCAAUGCCGCGUGAGUGAUGAAGGCCUUAGGGUUGUAAAGCUCUUUUACCCGGGAAGAUAAUGACGGUACCGGGAGAAUAAGCCCCGGCUAACUCCGUG